rnacentral:rRNA from 1 species
CAAUAGCGUAUAUUAAAGUUGUUGCAGUUAAAAAGCUCGUAGUUGGAUUUGUGGCUGUCACGGGCGGCCUAUCACUUAGUGUUAGUGCUUGCCUGUGUCGCCAUCCUUGGGUGGAGCCCGUGUGGCAUUAGGUUGUCGUGCGGGGGAUGCCCAUCGUUUACUGUGAGAAAAUUAGAGUGUUCAAAGCAGGCUUAUGCCGUUGAAUAUGUUAGCAUGGAAUAAUAAGAUAGGACCUCGGUACUAUUUUGUUGGUUUGCGCACCGAGGUAAUGAUUAAUAGGGACAGUUGGGGGUAGUCGUAUUUCAUUGUCAGAGGUGAAAUUCUUGGAUUUCUGAAAGACGAACUACUGCGAAAGCAUUUACCAAGGAUGUUUUCAUUAA